UGAGGUAGUAGGUUGUAUAGUUUUAGGGUCAUACCCUUCCUGUCAGAUAACUAUACAACUUACUGUCUUUCC
ensembl:miRNA